CAGCCGUAAACUAUGCUCGCUAGGUGUCAGGCAUGGCGCGACCGUGUCUGGUGCCGCAGGGAAGCCGUGAAGCGAGCCACCUGGGAAGUACGGCCGCAAGGCUGAAACUUAAGGAAUUGGCGGGGGGAGCACAACAACGGGUGGAGCCUGCGGUUUAAUUGGACUCAACGCCGGGAAGCUCACCGGAUAAGACAGCGGAAUGAUUGCCGGGCUGAAGACUCUGCAUGACUAGCUGAGAGGUGGUGCAUGGGCGUAGACGUCU
rnacentral:rRNA from 1 species